rnacentral:misc_RNA from 1 species
AAAGCCCUGAAUUUAUUAUUUAAGCCAAAGCGCAACCACCUCUGGUGGUGACAGGGUCAGGCGCGCGUGACGUAGGGACGUCAGAGCGAUGUAUCACUGCCGAUGUCCGAAGUGUCCGGUGCUGGAUGGCGUGGCGCCGGAGCGACCCGCGACCGCGCACACGUUUUCGCCAUCCACAGGAUGGGCGGAGUGUCGGCGUGACUCGAACGCGUCCCACCCCCGGCCCUCACUGCCCACUGGGGGCGGGGUGAGUCUGGGCCCCCCGAGAGGGAUGCCCCGGGUGAUGGCCAGCAUAAUGUGCGUGGCUGUGGGGCGACCUGUGGGGCGGGGGUGGGUAAGGUUCGAGGCAGAAGCCAUGCACCGAUGACCGGGUCUGGGCAUUGCUGCACCUCGUGUGCCUACGGCUGCCUCGCGCCGCGCGACGGGGCCUGUGACCGGCCGGGCAGAGAUGAGUUCAGCUCAGUGUUUUUGUGGGGCUCUUUGUGUGAUGAAAGUAAGUACUGUUCUGCUUUUGAAGUUAAAGAUUUGAACCCUGCUGGUGGGGUAAACCGGUGGUUGCUGUGUCUCUGCUGGGGCGCUUGGGUGACUUUUUUGGCUGGGGUGCUAAGGCGGGCUGCUUCUUUUUUUGAAAAGGGUGGCGUCCUUUCUGUUUCGCAGCCAGGAAACAGCGGAUAAAAAAAUGUGUGUGAAUUGUGUUGUUUACAAGUAUAAGAAAAAGUAGUUGCGUGCGGUAAAGUGGCACAUGAUGUGCUUUGUGUGAAAAUGGUUUUGAUGGCGACGGUGUCUGCAGGCUUCUGGCGGUAUGAAACGUUGGUGUGCUCUUUUUCGCGUUUUGGUUUGGUGUUGGAUGUCUCUCGGGUGACGGGGUGGGGUGUUUCUUGCGGGUUAAAGUGUUUUUCCUACAUUUAAAAGAACCUUUUGAGAAAAAAUGUUGACUGGCUUUCUGUGCGUCGGCUUUUAAGGUGAGGAUCAGCAGGGUUCGCGGAUAAUCUUGUGGUGCCAGAUGAGUGCGAGAGGGAAAGGAUGAAUAAAAGGGUCUUUUCGCGGCCUUUUUGCCUGGGGCUAGGCGGGCCCUUAUCGUUGAGGGUGGCGUCGGGAUGGCCGCGGGAGGUUGCGGGGUGGCUGCGCGGGGGGGGGGAUAUCAUUAGUGGGUUGGUUUCUCUUAAAUGUCUGCAUAGAGGUAACCAGUGCUUAUUUUUUCACCGCUCCUUGUUCGCUGAAGCUGAAUAACUGGCGAAGUAGGCUUAGAGUAACCUUCUGGUUUGUGAAUGGUUUCUCUGCGUGCCAGUGCGUGGAGAAGUGACGAGCUCUCUGUCUUGGUUGUCGGUUUACCGCCACCGCUGCAUUUUGGUCGAGGGGGGGGGCUGAAGAAGUGUCAGGCUACUGCACCUUUUCUCCUUCAUGCGUUUCUCUCGCUUACUUUUCAUGUGAAGGCCCUUGGGUUGGCGCAGCGCUUCAGUCGGGCCACCAGUAUCUCCAACACGGUUUGGAUGGGGAUAGAAGAGUGCUUUAUUCGCAGCUAUCAGGGUUUUAGUGGUGAUCUAUAAUGAACGUUUAGUUUUUGUUUGCCAAAAGAAGGUGAAGCUGAUCACUGUGUGCUCGCCGAUCAAAGCAGCGUCGAAUGCGGCAAGGCGGCGUGAGAGCUGCCGUUGCGAACGGGGAACGGCUGCUUCUGGCAUUGUCCGUCGAGCCUUGAUUGCCGGCGGUGCCUUUUUUUUUUCUGUUCUUUCUGGACCUGUCAUCUCAGUGGCGCACUGCAUAAUGGCUUCUUACUCCUCCUUACUUUAG